rnacentral:lncRNA from 1 species
AGUGUGAUGGCAUUCUUAAUUGUGACUGGGCAAGGGGACCUGGUCAAGCAGCAGUCUGAAUCCCACAGACGAUGCCCUGGACUGUGGUUGGGGCUGUGGGACUUCGAAGGAGGGCUCUCCUGUCUGCCACCAUCCUGGGUUGACAAUUCUACACAAGGAGUUUUUACAGAGUCAAGAGGAUCCUAUGAAUUUCCCACUGGGUUAAAAAUAUGACACAAUCCAAGGAGACAGCAUACCCAGUAGUGCCGUGUAGACUGUCGUAAACACCGUUUCACCAGGCUGCACAGAUGAUGCUGCUCUUCCCUUCACCUCCCAUCCUGUCGAAAAGGUUUUGUUAUUUUGUGCUCAUUUCAGAAGCUGAUGUGUAAAUGGUGUGUAUUUCUGUUGCCAUGACAACCCAGCAGCAAUUGGCCUGGGCUUCUUACCAGAGUACAAAUGUGCUCUUGACACGAUGCUUAUCAGACUUUGCCAGACAAUUUUCCCUCCUGGAUUCACACAAAAGGUUUCGAAGACUCCUAACUGCAUUUAGAGGAGAGACAGGCUGAAAUUUCGCACUUGGCUCACAUGAAUGAUGAAGCUCUAAAGCUCUGAUCCCCUGCUGAAGUCAUCGUGUUCUAGUCUAUCAUUUCAGUACUCUGGGGGCAACUCUGUAUAAUUAAAGAGGACCAAGUAUAAAUGUGGCAAAAAAAUCUUGCUGGCUACCAGAACUGGGCUUUUGUUGAUGUUUCAUGUGACACAUAACUGUCUCUGCAUUUAAUAAAAGGUCACUGUGACUGCCUAUGUUCUUAUUCAUAUUUUGGCUCGUCAAAUUUGU